rnacentral:rRNA from 1 species
GAACGCGUCUCCGUUAAUGAUUUUAGGUGCUUGCACUUGAAAGAUUUAACAUUGAGACGAGUGGCGAACUGGUGAGUAACACGUGGGUAACCUGCCCUUGAAGUAGGGGAUAACACUUGGAAACAGGUGCUAAUACCGUAUAACAACCAAAACCACCUGGUUUUGGUUUAAAAGACGGCUUCGGCUGUCACUUUAGGAUGGACCCGCGGCGCAUUAGCUUGUUGGUAAGGUAACGGCUUACCAAGGCGAUGAUACGUAGCCGACCUGAGAGGGUAAUCGGCCACAUUGGGACUGAGACACGGCCCAAACUCCUACGGGAGGCAGCAGUAGGGAAUCUUCCACAAUGGACGAAAGUCUGAUGGAGCAACGCCGCGUGAGUGAUGAAGGGUUUCGGCUCGUAAAACUCUGUUGUUGGAGAAGAACAGGUGUCAGAGUAACUGUUGACAUCUUGACGGUAUCCAACCAGAAAGCCACGGCUAACUACGUGCCAGCAGCCGCGGUAAUACGUAGGUGGCAAGCGUUGUCCGGAUUUAUUGGGCGUAAAGCGAGCGCAGGCGGUUUUUUAGGUCUGAUGUGAAAGCCUUCGGCUUAACCGGAGAAGUGCAUCGGAAACCGGGAGACUUGAGUGCAGAAGAGGACAGUGGAACUCCAUGUGUAGCGGUGAAAUGCGUAGAUAUAUGGAAGAACACCAGAGGCGAAGGCGGCUGUCUGGUCUGUAACUGACGCUGAGGCUCGAAAGCAUGGGUAGCGAACAGGAUUAGAUACCCUGGUAGUCCAUGCCGUAAACGAUGAGUGCUAAGUGUUGG